rnacentral:lncRNA from 1 species
CCAUUGGGUAAGGUGGCAUUUAUCUCCAGCUUCCUUGAGGUGAGCUCAGUUUAGGAAGUUUCUUUUCGACUGAACUGUGUCAGGAAUCUCGCCAAUGCCUGAUGCUGCCCACCACAUCUCUUUUGCUGCUGCUGUGGCUGGAACCUGCCUGGGAGGCACCGGCUGUGAAGGCUGGAGACCCAGGGAGGCUGCCCUGACACCUCUCCUUGUUCCCUGAGCCAGGGGGCCCAUCUGAGCCCCUUCACCCCUGGGGAGCUGUUUUCUGUGCCU